AAAAUCUGAAUAGGUCUAAUUGGGUCUGUUUCGGUUAGACCUUUAAUUGAGUCUUAAUUUCGUUCAGAGGCUAAAAAUACAGAAAAUACACGCCUCUUUUUUUCGGUGCUCCUUUUCUCUCUCUUGAAAUCAGGCUAUUUCUUCUAAACCCAAAACAACUUUCAUCCUUCACGUGUCUCUCUCUUCAACGAUCAAGCAGCCGCCGAAUCUUUUUCUUGACAAAUACUAUAUAUGUGAUGUGACAUAUCCUAACACUCGAGGAUUUCUAGCACCAUAUCGUAAUAUUCGAUAUUGGUUAGGAGAUUAUCAUCGCAGGCGUGCUAUAACUAAGGAGAAAAAAUUUAAUCAUACGCAUACACAAAUUAGAAAUGUCAUCGAGCGUGCUUAUGGAGUGUUGAAAGCAAGAUUCCCGAUAUUGGAUAAGAUGCCUCCAUAUCCUGUUGAUAUCCAAAGAGAUGUUGUUAUUGCAUAUUUUGUGGUUAAUAAUUUUAUCAAAAAGGAGCGCAUCAAUGAUGAUUUGUUUAAUCAGUUUGAUUUGCCUCAAGUAAUAUUUGACGAAGAACAACAACAUGAAGAAGUAUAGGGUAAAACUUAUGGACUUAGCUGGACAGUUGAAGAUUCUCAGAUGAUGAAUGAUAUGCGCGAGCAACUCGCACUCAAACUAGUACAAAGAAGAGGAAAUACUUGAGAGUUUUUAAUUUUUAGUUAUUUAAAGUAUUGUUUUUUCCGGUGUUUGAAUGUUACAACUUGAUCUGAUUAUCAAUUAGUUCUUCAAAUAUUCUAA